rnacentral:rRNA from 1 species
GACGAACGCUGGCGGCGUGCUUAACACAUGCAAGUCGAACGGAAAGGCCCUGCUUUUGUGGGGUGCUCGAGUGGCGAACGGGUGAGUAACACGUGAGUAACCUGCCCUUGACUUUGGGAUAACUUCAGGAAACUGGGGCUAAUACCGGAUAGGAGCUCCUGCUGCAUGGUGGGGGUUGGAAAGUUUCGGCGGUUGGGGCUGGACUCGCGGCUUAUCAGCUUGUUGGUGGGGUAGUGGCUUACCAAGGCUUUGACGGGUAGCCGGCCGGGGAGGGUGACCGGCGACAUUGGGACUGAGAUACGGCGCAGACUCGUACGGGAGGCAGCAGUGGGGAAUAUUGCACAAUGGGAGGAAGCCUGAUGCAGCAACGCCGCGUGCGGGAUGACGGCUUUCGGGUUGUAAACCGCUUUCGCCUGUGACGAAGCGUGAGUGACGGUAAUGGGUAAAGAAGCACCGGCUAACUACGUG